GUCUUUUUGAUUAUAAUUUAAAGUCUAACCUGCUCAAUGAUUUAUAUUAAAUAGCCGCAGUAUUUUGACUGUGCGAAGGUAGCAUAAUCAUUAGUUUCUUAAUUGGAAGCUGGAAUGAAUGGUUGGAUGAGAAAAUAACUGUCUCUUAUAUAUUUUAUUAGAAUUUUAUAUUUGAGUUAAAAAGCUUAAAUUUAAUAAGAAGACGAGAAGACCCUAUAGAGUUUUAUUUUAAUUUAAGUAUUUAAAUUAGGUUUAUAAUUUUAAUUAUUUUAGUUGAAGUUUUAUUGGGGUGAUAUAAAAAUUUAAUUAACUUUUUAUUAUUAUAACAUUGAUUUAUGAUACCUUGAUCUUUUAUUAUGGAUUAUAAGAAUAAAUUACCUUAGGGAUAACAGCGUAAUUUAUUUGGAGAGUUCAAAUCGAUAAAGAAGAUUGCGACCUCGAUGUUGGAUUAAAGUUAAAUUUUGAUGCAGAAGUUAAAAUUUUAAGUCUGUUCGACUUUUGAAACUUUACA
rnacentral:rRNA from 1 species